GAGAGAGAAAGAAGAAGAAAGAAAAAGAAGAAGAAGAAGAAGAAGAAGAAAGAAGAAGGGAAAUCGACCAUAGAGCUUCACCACAGCUGGGUCCUGGUAUUUUGAGCCUAAAUUUAUGAUCAUCUCAUCGAGGCCUUUAAUUUGAGGUUAUCCACCUGGCCAUCAGGAGGCGGGCCCCACUGUGGAGUUUCGAUCUGAGGACUAGUGGGUCCUUAUUGAGUUCGAGCAUGGCACCGAUUGCAAGUGAGAGGAUUGUACUGCAUGGCUGCUGUGACUCCUGAGUGAUUUUUUUUUAUUCUUUUGAUACCAUAUUUGAAGUUGCCAAAAGAAGUUGUCUCAAUUUGGCUGUACAUUCACAAGGUUGCCUUACUCUCAACACAUGCAUUGAUCAUAUGAUAGAAGACCAUAAAAGAGAGCUCCUAGACAUUAUCAAAGAAAACUCAGUUUUCUUGGCACAAGACCCUUAUCGGAACUAUGUAGUGCAGCAUGUACUAAGAAUACACUACCCGGGUGUCAAUGGGAGAAUAUGUCAUAAGCUUCAAGAAUUCUAUGUGAGGCUCUCAAUGCAGAAGUCUGGCAGCCAUGUAGUAGAGACAUGCGCAAUAUCUGGUGGGAUAGUAUAUGUGGUCAAUGAUCUUGUUCAAGGUGAAACUUGUUGAAGUUGCAAAGAAUCAGUUUGGAAACUAUGUGAUCCAAACAGUUCUAAAGGCGACCAAGGGUUCAUAUCUUCGCCUUUAUCUGAGACUUGAAAUCGCCCUACAGCCACAUCUUGCAGAACUCCAGUACCAUCCAAAUGGAAGGAAUGUUUACAAUUUGAUCAAGGAGGGGAUUAAUACUCCUUUUAAUGGCAACAAGCAGGUUUACUGGCAGUACUGUUGAGCCUUCAUUGGUGGACCUCCAAAGUUCUUCAGGCCAGGCCGGCUUCCCAUCUUCUAAUUUUCCCUCAUUGUAGUAGUUGAAAUGUAUCUUUCUAAUUUUUUUUUCUACUGUUGUUUUAUUGCACUGCAAUGUUAGUACAAAGUGGGAAAAGUGGAUGAAGAUGAAGAAUGAAUUGUAGGAGUUAGUACAAAAUGAUACGUUAUGUUUGUUUCUUGAAUAUGACACAACUUUCAAAUUUCAAUAUGUAGUUUCAAA